rnacentral:sRNA from 21 species
GUCAACGACCCCACGCGUAGAACGCGGGGGCUUGCUCCCGUGGUUGACGUUGGUCCCGUUGUCCAGCCUGAGAUGCUGAUCCCGCAGGCCGGGAGAAGAAGCAUCUACGUUCGGAAGAUCAUGGCACUCAGGGAUGCCACCUCAGUCCCUGGCUCUGCC